UGACGAAUCAAAGAAGCUCAUUGAUGAAUAAUUCAGAUAGUUUGCUUCGGGGAGUGACGCAGACAAUGCAGAGUACUUUUUCGUUUAAUUUUUGUCUUAAAACAAAUCAACCAAACAAAUAAUUAUACAAACUGUCAACGAAAACCGUAGUUCCCAGCGUGGAACUUGAAACCUGUACUUUUCGGUCGGUCAGUGUCACGCAUCGUAAAGGGCUUCCUUAUGCCGAUUCAUGUGGUGUAGCUGCUAGGAAAAGAUGCCGCAGUUGAAAUCCAGAAAGAUAGCCAUUCUGGGAUACAGAUCCGUGGGGAAGUCUUCUCUGACCAUUCAGUUUGUGGAAGGACAGUUUGUAGAUGCCUAUGAUCCCACGAUUGAGAACACGUUUACUAAGAUGAUCAGUGUGAACGGGCAGGACUACCAUCUCCAGCUGGUCGACACAGCAGGGCAGG